UAUAAUAGAUAGCUCCUCAAGGGUGGUCGGCUCACUCCUAUUCCAAAUGGAAGGGGGUGAAGCUAUGACGGUAUUUCAAGCAUUGACACUCAUGAUUUCUUUUGCAACUUUGGUCGUGUUAAUACUGUCUUUCCAUAAAAAGAAGUAGAUCACCCUUGAGUUUAGCACCUCAGUGAUCUACUUCACCUGUAAAUGAGCUACCCCUUUGAAGGGACAGUCUAUUAUAUGACCGUGGGUGUUGGCAGCACCUGCG
rnacentral:sRNA from 1 species